AGAGUUUGAUCCUGGCUCAGAAUCAACGCUGGCGGCGUGCCUAACACAUGCAAGUCGAACGCGAAAGUGGAGCAAUCCAUGAGUAGAGUGGCAAACGGGUGAGUAACGCGUGGGCGACCUACCUCAGAGUGGGGGAUAACCUUCCGAAAGGAGGGCUAAUACCGCAUGACAUACCGUGUUUGGAUACACGGAUAUCAAAGCCGGGGAUCGUAAGACCUGGCGCUUGGAGAGGGGCCCGCGUCCGAUUAGCUAGUUGGUGAGGUAACGGCUCACCAAGGCUCCGAUCGGUAUCCGGCCUGAGAGGGCGGACGGACACACUGGAACUGAGACACGGUCCAGACUCCUACGGGAGGCAGCAGUGGGGGAUUGUUCACAAUGGGCGCAAGCCUGAUGACGCAACGCCGCGUGGAGGAUGAAGACUUUCGGGUCGUAAACUCCUUUCGACCGAGAUGAAUUCCCGCCGGCCUAAUAUGCCGGCGGGGUGACAGUAUCGAGGGAAGAGACCCCGGCUAACUCCGUGCCAGCAGCCGCGGUAAU
rnacentral:rRNA from 1 species